AAUAGACGAUUGCCUUCGCUAUUUACGUACACUGAGUGGUGAUCUUGAAAGUCGAUACGACAGAUUGUGAUACGCUAGGACAAAUUCGAAACGGGUCUAACAUUUUAGUUAUGCGGGAGAAUCUAUGCGGCACAGGUUUGCUCAAACAUAUUCCCUACAAACGGAGAAACAUUGUCUGAUGAUUAGAUGAAGUAGCAUAAGAAUGACAGAUUUCAGGAUGAAGAUUGUUGUGUGGGCUGUCUAUCUUAGCAUCGCAGGAACUGUAGGCUGGGGUCGAACCAAAUGUUACGAAGAUCAUUGUAACGAGAAGAGAUGUCAGAUUUGCGAGGAUAUGAAACAGCACUGCAGUCCUGACUACACGUCACCCAAAUGUGAUGGAUUUUGUAAAGCCCUGGAAGUAAUUGGUAACAAAACGCAAAGCCGUGUUCAUUACAUGGAAUUACCAUCAAAGGUUGACAAAAGAAGAAUGUGGAAACAACAAAAUGAUCUUGCUAAAACACGACGUGAUUUUGAAACAGUAAGCAAAACUUUAAAUGACGCCAAGGAGUCCAUCAAAAGUCUCAUAAAUGAAAAUAAUUAUUUGAGAAAUAUUAUCUCAGAUCCAAAGGAAAUGCUUUUCUAUAAGCCAAAUGACCAAACCUAAGACGGAAGAUGUGACUGCCGUAUCCAAGAAGAUUCCCUGAGUCGAUGUUGGACACAACUAAAGGAGCAGUCAAGCCGAACAGAUGUGCUGAUUGGUAACGUAAUAGAUGUAUGCCGACAUGAACUGCUUACUGCUGCUAUCACUGGCGUGCGUUAUAAUAUAUCUCUGAUGUACACAUCCAAGCCUUCAUCCAAUCAAAACCACCUGAUGUACAAAUCCAACCUUUCAUCCAAUCAAACCGCCUGAUGUAAUACAUCCAAGUCUUCAUCCAAUCAAACCGCCUGAUGUACAAAUCCAAGCCUUCAUCCAAUCAAACCGCCUGAUGUACACACACAUCCAAGCCUUCAUCCAAUCAAAACCGCCUGAUGUACACAUCAAAGCCUUCAUCCGAUCAAACUGCCUGAUGCGCCGAACGUGUCCGCUUCAUUUGCAAAUAAUUAAAUUGU
rnacentral:lncRNA from 1 species